GGAGGAGUCGCCUAGUGGUCUAUGGCGCUUGCUUGGAAAGCAAGUGUGCUUCGGCAUACGCGGGUCCGAAUCCCGCCUCCUCCGCCA
rnacentral:tRNA from 1 species